GAAAGGUGGAUUUGGGGUAGAGAACAGAGAGAAAUCUCCUCUCCAGAGGCAAAGGUCCCUUCCCAAAAGCAAAAAUCUCCUUCCCAGCAGUGGGAGGACACCUGGACACCCCCUCACCCCCUCCCACCUUUCUCUCCCAAAACCCCCCUGGGCAGUUUUGACCCUCUCCAGUGGAUUGUUGCACUUUGCUCUAAUCAAAGCCGUGGCCGGUGCUGGGCCGUGCCGCCGCUCCCGGGGAUCCUCCCGGUGCAGCCGGGCCGGGCCCAGCCCGAGCUCCGUUAGCAAAGGCUCGGCUCUAACUCAGGCCGAGCCUUAAACCCCCCGGCAGGGCUGCACCCCUGGGGACGGCAGGAACAGCCCCCGGCUGCUUUGGGGGUUAUCGAUGGGUUUAUUAGUGGGGUUAUCAGUGGGGUUAUCAAUGGGUUAAUCAAUGGGUAUCAGUGGGUUUAUCAAUGGGGUUAUCAGUGGGUUAAUCAAUGGGGUUAUCAGUGGGUUAAUCAGUUGGGUUAUCAGUGGGUUUAUUAUCAGUGGGUUUAUCAAUGAGCUGUUUAUUGGAGGGUUUAUCAAUGGGUUUAUUAUCGAUGGGUUUAUCAAUGGGCUGUUUAUUGGAGGGUUUGUGAAUGGGAUGUGUGGUGGAUUUUAUGAAUGGCUUGAUGGAUGUGUUUAGCAGUGACUCGUGCCUGCAUUGAUAACCAAACCUCCACAAGCUCGGGAGGAGCAUUCCAGGGAUCCUCUGUCGGGCGUUUUCCUUCUUUUGGGUUGUUUGCUGAAGAAAGAGCUCAGAUUGGACUCUAUUUAUUGUAACAUUUCACUUUAAUCUGAAUCCGUGUCCUCUGUGUGUGUGACCAUCCCUGACUGUUCCCGAGCUUGGCUCUCGGGCUCCCUGUGCUGCACUGAACUUGUGCAGUUUUUAUACUAAAAACCAAAAAUAAAGAUUAUUUUGAAAAUUUAAACGAACUAACAGAUUUCUGUUGGGCCUCUGAGAACCCCUUUGGCUGCUGCCAGCCGGGGGUUUCCUCAUUUCUUUCCUUUUUCCUGCUGGGUUGGGAACUUCCUCUUUCGGGGUUAUUAUUUUUGGGGGAGUAUUUAGGUUUUUUCCUGCACUCAGGCACCCACAUAUUCCUUCCACGGUUGGCUUCAUAAAUUAAG